CUGGCGCGGACAUGGAGAACAGCGACAAGGCCAGGUUUGCGGAUGUGUUGCGAACUUGCGAUAGUUCUCGACCGGGUGCUCGCCGGCAAUGACCGUGGCCUAGCAGCAGGAUAGCAUAAGCUCUCCCUUGUUCUUUUAUGCUUGAAUCAGAUUUUGUGGUUCUCAAUUUUACACAUUUAUUGAUCUUGGUCUUCUUUUGUAUGCAGGGUACACUUAUGUUUCAUGUCUAUUCUGCAGAUUUUUAGAACACUGAGUGCAUAUCUUCCCUUGCAAUGCUGCUGAUUCGACAACUGAACUGGAUUCAAACUGGACUUGCGACUAGAGCAACCCCAAGCAAGAUAAACUCGAUUGGAAGAUGUCUUCUAAACUCUGAAGGCAAGCACUUGGCUGACACUUUUGUUCGUGUAGAAGGCAUGUCGUUUGAUUCAUGCCAAGAAGCGUACAAACAGUAUAAGCUAUUCGCUUGGGAGAAUGAUUUCAGAAUUCAUCAUGGAAAGCCGAGAUGAGGGCUUGCACGUUACCAGUUGAUGCACAAAAUUGUGUGCUGGUGCUAGGUUAAGAGGGACAAAGGUAAUUCUUCUUCGUGCAAAACAGAAUGAAGGCGAGGAUGCAUCUCCUCCAUGCAAAGCAGGGGAUAGGGUAGCGUACACGAACAACAAAAUUGUAGAAGGCGAGGAGGACAAUCUGAGUGACCAACAUUAUGUGGAGUAUUGAGAUGCAGGCUGAAUUCUUGUUCUCUAGAUCCACCUUCACCGACAUCACGUGCUCGUCUGUGACCUCCCACCAGCAGCGCCUUGAGGCCACCCACACAAGCGACCAAGCAAUUCCAUGAUGUCACCCUGCUACUUCGCCAACGACAUCGAGGAGGUCGUGGGUGAGAGCUACUGUCUUCUUUGGAGAACAUGCUGGUGCCCCAUGCGUACGAAGAAGAGCUAAGACACUCGCAUGGUGCUCAACGAAAUACACCAGAUUGAGCGAGCUUAGAUUAAAGUUUCUUCAUUCUUCACUAGCUUUUCUUGUGCCUUUAGGUAUUUCACUAUUUGAGAUAAGUAUCGUAUGCUUCCUGCAACAUAUAAGGGAAACCAAAAAGGAUUACAAAAUAUUUAUGCUUCUUCAUA